CAAUUAGGAAAGAUUCAUGAAACAUGCGUUUUCACGCCACUGCGCUGCAGAGUGAGGACUUUUGGACCCCGUCCGUCAUUCGCGCUCACAGAAAAUGGCCAUCCGUGUGUUAGAAUGGAUAUUCUUCUUUUAUUUCGCCUCUCACAUUCCUAUUACGUUGUUCAUUGACUUACAAGCCCUGCUGCCCGGACAUGUGUACCCCCAGCCGCUGAGAGACCUUCUGGGAUGGUACGCUGAGGAGUUCAAAGACCCCAUGGUGCUGGACCCUCCCGAGUGGUUCAAGUCGUUUGUUUUCUGUGAGGCUUUCUUUCAAAUGCCAUUUUUCCCCAUUGCAGCGUACGCUUUCCUGAAAGGCGGCUGUAAGUGGAUCCGGACUCCUGCCAUCGUGUACUCCACGCAUGUUGCCACCACGCUGAUUCCCAUCCUAGCCCAUAUCCUCUUCUAUCAGUUCCCUGUCCGGCCUCACCCUGGUCCCCAAACUAACCGGGAGCGCUGGCUGCUGGUCUCCAUAUACGCACCGUACCUGCUGGUUCCGCUGCUGCUGCUGCUCACAAUGCUGCUGUCCUCCAAAUACAACCCCACCUCCAAGCCUGGAGGCACGUCAGGCAAAGCCAAGAAGAAAAACUGAAUCCAACACAAAACUGUGAUUUACCUUGAUUUUCGAAGACAUAUCCCCCCACCUUGCAUUCUUUAUGAGAUAUUUUAAUGUAAGAGCUCAUGUGAAACAUGUCAGCUGAGAAGAAUCUGUUAGAUUAAGUCCAAACUAGUCAUCUAUAAUUGUUAUUUUUUUUAAAUAAAUUGAAUUUCUUCAUCUCAUUGUGAGUUUUUUAACCCGACCAUAGACUAAAAUGUGAAUUAUUUGUUUGAAUAUGCAGUUUGUGCAUACUUCAGGUUAUUUAGCUUGUAAACACAUAAUGAGUUACUGCAAAUGUAAGUCUGACUAAAAUGAAUUGGAUGUAGUGUAACAGUGUUUAGGUUUAAGUUGUAGAAUUCCACUUGCUUUCUAUGUAUCAGUGCAAUGGGGAAAUAGCGCCCCCCUCUUUGUGUGGUUGGUUAUAUGUUGCUGGUCCCUGUAGUCAGUGCCAGUCUGUGAAAGCUACACGAGAGGUGAGUUGCAUUCUUCAGCACACAGUAGAAAAGUGUUAGCAACAUCAUAAAACAUCAUUUUUUUACUAAAUUAGACAAGUAAUUUGUAAUGAUUAGUUACUAGAUGUGUGCCUGGCACCAACAUCUGUACUUUUAGUUUUCUUAAUAUUGUAAAACACUUGGUGUGCUAAGUUAAAAGCUAACAUAACGCUCUGUUGUAGCGUGCUGAGUGAAGCUGAGCCGUUGCACUGAUUCAAACCCCGAUAUGUUCCCAUUCAGGUACAUCAUUUAUUAUUGUAUUCUUCAUUGUACAUUGAAAAUAUGAAUGUUUUGCUGUAAUUACGGCCAGUCUGUGAAAGCUACACGAGAGCGUGCUGAGUGAAGCUGAGCCGUUGCACUGAUUCAAACCCCGAUAUGUUCCCAUUCAGGAAAUAAACUGCCUGACAACCCA